UACAGAGGUCUCGAGCGUUGUUCGGAUUCAUUGGGCGUAAAGGGUGCGUAGGUGGCGCCGUAAGUCGGGUGUGAAAUUUCGGAGCUUAACUCCGAAGCUGCAUUCGAUACUGCGGUGCUUGAGGACUGGAGAGGAGACUGGAAUUCAUGGUGUAGCAGUGAAAUGCGUAGAGAUCAUGAGGAAGACCAGUGGCGAAGGCGGGUCUCUGGACAGUUCCUGACACUGAGGCACGAAGGCCAGGGGAGCAAACGGG
rnacentral:rRNA from 1 species